AGUGAACGCUGGCGGUAGGCCUAACACAUGCAAGUCGAACGGCAGCACAGAGGAGCUUGCUCCUUGGGUGGCGAGUGGCGGACGGGUGAGGAAUACAUCGGAAUCUACUCUGUCGUGGGGGAUAACGUAGGGAAACUUACGCUAAUACCGCAUACGACCUACGGGUGAAAGCAGGGGAUCUUCGGACCUUGCGCGAUUGAAUGAGCCGAUGUCGGAUUAGCUAGUUGGCGGGGUAAAGGCCCACCAAGGCGACGAUCCGUAGCUGUGCUGAGAGGAUGAUCAGGCACAAUGGAACUGGGACCCGGUCCAGACUCCUACGGGAGGCAGCAGUGGGGAAUAUUGGACAAUGGGCGCAAGCCUGAUCCAGCCAUACCGCGUGGGUGAAGAAGGCCUUCGGGUUGUAAAGCCCUUUUGUUGGGAAAGAAAUCCAUCUGGUUAAUACCCGGGUGGGAUGACGGUACCCAAAGAAUAAGCACCGGCUAACUUCGUGCCAGCAGCCGCCGUAA
rnacentral:rRNA from 1 species